GUAUUCAGGUUAGAUAAACCUCACAUGUCCUCCUUGGAAUGGGUAGUGUCCUGUUCAUGUUUAUUGUUUUCUUACAGUACUAGUCCAGCUUUUUUUUUUUUUUCCAUGAUGCCUGCUGAAGCAAUAUCUUAAUAACAGGGGAGACAAGAUAAGUAAUACCUUUUCUAAGAGAAAAUAUUCCUGAAUUCUGGCAAAUUCUGAAAUGUUAGUUCAAAAAGUAAACAUCCUUACUUUUUAAUGCGGACUUUUCCACCCUUUUUGGAAAGGGCACAUCCUCUGACAUGAUACACUGUGGUUUCUAGAUAUCAUUAGAUAAUGACUGAUCUGACAGCACCCUCCAGGCACAAGAUUUUACUUUGAUUGGGAUGAGUUGCCAUCAAGCACAGUUCGUUAGGAGAAAAUCAGAGAACACCAGUCUCACUGGUACAGACCCAGCUGGCAUGGGUCAAAUUUAAGCAGGGGAUGUCAUGACUGCAAGAACUGAUCUCUCUAAGCAGUAACAAGAAGUGCCUGGAACUGGAAAGUUGGGUGAGCUUUGCUGUUUUGUUUUCUUUGUUUUGUUUUGUUUUGUUUUGAAGGGGGUAGAAUGAGUGGAGCUAUGUUAUGUUCUUUCUAAAGGUGAAAACUGCAAUAAGCAAUGUCCCAUUUGAAAAAGAUGGUAGCAUUUUGAAAGUGUGAGGUGUGUGGGCCAUGUGAUGUGUGCUGGUUGCUGAUUAAUCAUUUUUGAGCAGUUUUAAAAGGUGGUUUGAAGAUUUAGAGUCCUAAAUAGCUAAUCUAUUCCCUUCUUUUUGUGUUUCUUUAUAGAACUGUGACUAAACCAUGACGAGUUAGAAGCAUGUGUAAUAUAUGCAUGAAAUCUGCAGCACCCUUCCUUAAAAUUAAUGCAGAUCAAGAGACCCUGAUUGUUUUGGACCACAGAGCAAGAAGCAAGGCCUACAGGCAAGUCCCCUGCCAGCAUUCUUCUCUGGAGAGCAUCAACAGGAAAAGAUCAAUUUCAGAGACGUGCAGGAUCUGUCCUCUGACAUCCGUAUUCAGAACCAGGCCGUUCUGCUCAUCAGACUCCUUUGCACCAUCUGGAUUUGCUGAGAAAUGAUUUUGCAAGAAAAAAAGCUGGGGGGAGGAUCAUUACUCAGCUGUUGGCAGGUAACACCCGUACAUGUGCGUGCUGAAAAGGUCACAGAAGUUGCAGUGUUACGGGGCUGCUACAGAGCAUGCGUACAGCCAGGCUUCCUGGGCCCUAGCUGAGGUUUCAUGGCUCUUGCUAGAUCUACCAAAAUUGAAAACUAGUACAUACAUUUGGAAAUAGAGGUUAUCUUGAGAAUUUUAAAUAAUAAUAAUAUAUGGAGAUCAAAAUAGACCUUGACUGCGUUUCCUUCUCCUUCCAUUCCUUCCCUUUCUCAGUGCAUUCUUCUCCCCUAGUACCAACUAACUCCCCUUGAAUAUCUUUACUGAAAGGGUUGUUAGGCAUUGGAAUGGGCUGCCAGGGAAGUGGUUGAGUCACCAUUCCUGGAGGUCUUUAAAAGACGUUUAGAUGUAGAGCUUAGUGAUAUGGUUUAGCGGAGGACUGGUUAGUGUUAGGUCAGAGGUUGGACUUGAUGAUCUUGGGAGGUGUCUUCCAACCUAUAAAUUCUGUGAUUCUACAGAUAUCCCCUGCUUCAUGGGUGAACUGCAAACACCAUGAUCUCGCCCAUGAAGGAAGAAAAGCCUUAGUAGAGAAACAGAGUCAUUCUGUAAUUUGGGGAGGCACUUGAAGUAAUCCUUGAAUAUGUGUUUCAUGAUCACAGAGAGCCAAAAUUUCAGAUGUUUCCCUUAAGUUUCAAUUUCUCAGCCUGAUAUACCCAAGUCUGAGGCACUGGACAUCACAUACCCGACUUCUUCCAUUGUCUUAGGUAAAAGUUUUUUAUAAGCAGCAUAAAGAACAGGCAUUUUUAGGACCAUGCUGUGAGGAGAGAUCCUCAGCCCUUUCUGCAGUGAAAAUGGACUACUCUGUCUGUUUGCAUCUUUUCCAAAGGUAUUUCCUAAGAGAUGCUACAGCAGAAGAGGUUGCAAACAAGGGC
rnacentral:lncRNA from 1 species